rnacentral:rRNA from 1 species
UACGGGGGGAGCAAGCGUUGUUCGGAUUUACUGGGCGUAAAGGGCGCGUAGGCGGUCAGCACAAGUCAGUCGUGAAAUCUCCGGGCUUAACUCGGAAAGGUCAACUGAUACUGUGCGACUAGAGUGCAGAAGGGGCAACUGGAAUUCUCGGUGUAGCGGUGAAAUGCGUAGAGAUCGGGAAGAACAUCGGUGGCGAAAGCGCUCUACUGGACCGCAACCGACACUCAGGGACGAAAGCUAGGGGAGCGAUCCGG